rnacentral:rRNA from 1 species
GACGAACGCUGGCGGCGUGCUUAACACAUGCAAGUCGAACGGAAAGGCCCUGCUUUUGUGGGGUGCUCGAGUGGCGAACGGGUGAGUAACACGUGAGUAACCUGCCCUUGACUUUGGGAUAACUUCAGGAAACUGGGGCUAAUACCGGAUAGGAGCUCCUGCUGCAUGGUGGGGGUUGGAAAGUUUCGGCGGUUGGGGAUGGACUCGCGGCUUAUCAGCUUGUUGGUGGGGUAGUGGCUUACCAAGGCUUUGACGGGUAGCCGGCCUGAGAGGGGGACCGGCCACAUUGGGACUGAGAGACGGCCCAGACGCCUACGGGAGGCAGCAGUGGGGAAUAUUGCACAAUGGGCGGAAGCCUGAUGCAGCAACGCCGCGUGCGGGAUGACGGCCUUCGGGUUGUAAACCGCUUUCGCCUGUGACGAAGCGUGAGUGACGGUAAUGGGUAAAGAAGCACCGGCUAACUACGUG